rnacentral:rRNA from 1 species
UAAGCGACUAAGCGUACACGGUGGAUGCCUAGGCAGUCAGAGGCGAUGAAGGGCGUGCUAAUCUGCGAAAAGCGUCGGUAAGCUGAUAUGAAGCGUUAUAACCGACGAUACCCGAAUGGGGAAACCCAGUGCAAUACGUUGCACUAUCGUUAGAUGAAUACAUAGUCUAACGAGGCGAACCGGGGGAACUGAAACAUCUAAGUACCCCGAGGAAAAGAAAUCAACCGAGAUUCCCCCAGUAGCGGCGAGCGAACGGGGAGGAGCCCAGAGUCUGAAUCAGUUUGUGUGUUAGUGGAAGCGUCUGGAAAGUCGCACGGUACAGGGUGAUAGUCCCGUACACCAAAAUGCACAGGCUGUGAACUCGAUGAGUAGGGCGGGACACGUGACAUCCUGUCUGAAUAUGGGGGGACCAUCCUCCAAGGCUAAAUACUCCUGACUGACCGAUAGUGAACCAGUACCGUGAGGGAAAGGCGAAAAGAACCCCGGCGAGGGGAGUGAAAUAGAACCUGAAACCGUGUACGUACAAGCAGUGGGAGCACCUUCGUGGUGUGACUGCGUACCUUUUGUAUAAUGGGUCAGCGACUUAUAUUUUGUAGCAAGGUUAACCGAAUAGGGGAGCCGUAGGGAAACCGAGUCUUAACUGGGCGUCUAGUUGCAAGGUAUAGACCCGAAACCCGGUGAUCUAGCCAUGGGCAGGUUGAAGGUUGGGUAACACUAACUGGAGGACCGAACCGACUAAUGUUGAAAAAUUAGCGGAUGACUUGUGGCUGGGGGUGAAAGGCCAAUCAAACCGGGAGAUAGCUGGUUCUCCCCGAAAGCUAUUUAGGUAGCGCCUCGUGAACUCAUCUUCGGGGGUAGAGCACUGUUUCGGCUAGGGGGCCAUCCCGGCUUACCAAACCGAUGCAAACUCCGAAUACCGAAGAAUGUUAUCACGGGAGACACACGGCGGGUGCUAACGUCCGUCGUGAAGAGGGAAACAACCCAGACCGCCAGCUAAGGUCCCAAAGUCAUGGUUAAGUGGGAAACGAUGUGGGAAGGCACAGACAGCCAGGAUGUUGGCUUAGAAGCAGCCAUCAUUUAAAGAAAGCGUAAUAGCUCACUGGUCGAGUCGGCCUGCGCGGAAGAUGUAACGGGGCUAAACCAUGCACCGAAGCUGCGGCAGCGACACUUAGGUGUUGUUGGGUAGGGGAGCGUUCUGUAAGCCGUUGAAGGUGACCUGUGAGGGUUGCUGGAGGUAUCAGAAGUGCGAAUGCUGACAUAAGUAACGAUAAUGCGGGUGAAAAACCCGCACGCCGGAAGACCAAGGGUUCCUGUCCAACGUUAAUCGGGGCAGGGUGAGUCGACCCCUAAGGCGAGGCUGAAAAGCGUAGUCGAUGGGAAACAGGUUAAUAUUCCUGUACUUGGUGUUACUGCGAAGGGGGGACGAGGAAGGCUAGGCUGGCCGGGCGACGGUUGUCCCGGUUUAAGCGUGUAGGGGGAUGACCAGGUAAAUCCGGUUGCUUAUCAACCCUGAGGCGUGAUGACGAUGCACCACGGUGCAGAAGCAGUUGAUGCCAUGCUUCCAGGAAAAGCCUCUAAGCAUCAGGUAACAUUAAAUCGUACCCCAAACCGACACAGGUGGUCAGGUAGAGAAUACUCAGGCGCUUGAGAGAACUCGGGUGAAGGAACUAGGCAAAAUGGUGCCGUAACUUCGGGAGAAGGCACGCUGGCGUUAGGUGAAAGGACUAGCUCCUGGAGCUGAAGCCAGUCGCAGAUACCAGCUGGCUGCAACUGUUUAAUAAAAACACAGCACUGUGCAAACACGAAAGUGGACGUAUACAGUGUGACGCCUGCCCGGUGCUGGAAGGUUAAUUGAUGGGGUCAGCCGCAAGGCGAAGCUCUUGAUCGAAGCCCCAGUAAACGGCGGCCGUAACUAUAACGGUCCUAAGGUAGCGAAAUUCCUUGUCGGGUAAGUUCCGACCUGCACGAAUGGCGUAAUGAUGGCCAGGCUGUCUCCACCCGAGACUCAGUGAAAUUGAACUCGCUGUGAAGAUGCAGUGUACCCGCGGCAAGACGGAAAGACCCCGUGAACCUUUACUAUAGCUUGACACUGAACAUUGAGCCUUGAUGUGUAGGAUAGGUGGGAGGCCUUGAAGUGUGGACGCCAGUCUGCAUGGAGCCAACCUUGAAAUACCACCCUUUAAUGUUUGAUGUUCUAACUCGGCCCCAUGAUCUGGGGUGAGGACAGUGUCUGGUGGGUAGUUUGACUGGGGCGGUCUCCUCCCAAAGAGUAACGGAGGAGCACGAAGGUUAGCUAAUCACGGUCGGACAUCGUGAGGUUAGUGCAAAGGCAUAAGCUAGCUUGACUGCGAGAGUGACGGCUCGAGCAGGUACGAAAGUAGGUCUUAGUGAUCCGGUGGUUCUGAAUGGAAGGGCCAUCGCUCAACGGAUAAAAGGUACUCCGGGGAUAACAGGCUGAUACCGCCCAAGAGUUCAUAUCGACGGCGGUGUUUGGCACCUCGAUGUCGGCUCAUCACAUCCUGGGGCUGAAGUAGGUCCCAAGGGUAUGGCUGUUCGCCAUUUAAAGUGGUACGCGAGCUGGGUUUAGAACGUCGUGAGACAGUUCGGUCCCUAUCUGCCGUGGGCGUUGGAAGAUUGAGAGGGGCUGCUCCUAGUACGAGAGGACCGGAGUGGACGAAUCACUGGUGUUCGGGUUGUCAUGCCAAUGGCAUUGCCCGGUAGCUAAAUUCGGAAGAGAUAACCGCUGAAAGCAUCUAAGCGGGAAACUUGCCUCGAGAUGAGUCUUCCCUGGGGCUUAAAGCCCCCUGAAGGAACGUUAAAGACUAUGACGUUGAUAGGCUGGGUGUGUAAGUGCAGCGAUGUAUUGAGCUAACCAGUACUAAUGAUCCGUGAGGCUUAACCU